GACGAACGCUGGCGGCGUGCCUAAUACAUGCAAGUAGAACGCAGUUGCGAACGGGUGAGUAACGCGUAGGUAACUGCCUCAUAGCGGGGGAUAACUAUUUGAAACGAUAGCUAAUACCGCAUACUGUGAGAUGGACCUGCGUUGUAUUAGCUAGUUGGUGGGGUAAAGGCUAACCAAGGCGACGAUACAUAGCCGACCUGGGAGGGUUAUCGGGCAAACCGGGACUGAGACAAGGCCCAGACUCCUACGGGAGGCAGCAGUAGGGAAUCUUCGGAAAUGGACGGAAGGCUGACCGAGCAACGGCGCGUGAGUGAAGAAGGUUUUCGGAUUGUAAAACUCUGUUGUGCGAGGAGCGGUAACUAACCAGAAAGGACCGGCUAACUACGUGCCAGCCGCCGCGGUAAUAC
rnacentral:rRNA from 1 species